rnacentral:lncRNA from 1 species
CAAAAGUCAGAAUGCCCUGAGUGUUCCUUGUGUGCUCGCCCAGUUAGAAAGCAUUUGGCUCGGGUUACAAUUUAGAAAAGCUAGUCUGAGAGUUGUUCGAUUUUCAGAAAGAAGUGGGGAAAAGUUCUUUCAGAACGCCCCAGAGUUCCCCCUUCUCCAGCUGCCUCUUCGGGUAGUUUCGGCUCAACAGAAACCCCAGGAGGCAGCGGGGCAAGGUCAGGACUGUGGAGGGAAUUCCCACCCGGUGCGCUCAGAAGCAUCCCAGGUUGCUGGCUUCGGUAAACAGCCUCACUAGAAAGGUCACCCCUGAGCUGAGGGAUUUUUCUUGUCUCUCACCGCAGGUUUCUGGACAGAGGGGUCUGGUUUACCGAGAACUUGCUCCACUAACAAUGCGGAGCCCUGAGCUGCGGGUGUCAUAGAGCAAGCAUGGAGAGAGGCAAGGCUUCAUCAGCUUCACGCUUGCCAAAGCUCCUGUCUACGGAACUUAAAGGGUUCGAAAACAUGGGAGGUGAAAUGUCACUCAAGUGAAUUAAGAGAGUUCAACUAUCCCAGACCAGCGUGAGUGACUGAACUGGAGGCCAUGGCAGCUGCAGAGAUCACAGGAAACCCGAUUCCCAGCUCCUUCCGAUGAUGUUUUUUUCCUUCAUCUUUACUGUUGUACCAUUGUCUUCCCUCUGGAUGUGCUUCCCGCUUCCUCUAACACAGGCUGCCAGCCACAUGUUGGUUUCUCUUCUGUCUGAUGAGAACAAUGGGAUUGUGUUUGAGCACAUCCGGGUAAUCUAAGAUAAUGUUCGUAACUUUGGAGCCAACAAUGUAUCACACCUGCCUCCCUGUUAUUUAUGUCCAUAGCUAUAGGUUUCAGAGUUCAGGGUCCAAUAAAUUUAGGAGACACUUUUUAGUCAGCCAAACUUUCUUUCCUCCUGAACAUGACAUGUCAGAUUACUUUACCAAGAAUGGAAAUAAGGUUCUGUUUGACUAGCUGCUCUCUUCACUCAUUUCCUUGGUGACUGAACAGCUCUACCUCUACCUGUUUCUUCCUUGUUAUCCAACCUUCUGAAUUAGUGGUCUCAUUAGAGUGCUUGAUCCUUGGUAAUCCCUUUCUCCAGUGCCUAUUUCAAGGUACCAGGGAUUAGACUCAGGAGAAGAGUGGAAGUACAGGGAUCUACCAACAGAACUUUGCAAUGCUCCAUAUAUAUAUAUGGAGGAAGUCACCUGGUGAUGCCAAGGGUCGCCCAUUUAGCAGGAAGCUAUAAAGUACUGCUGAAAUUCAGAAGAGAAAGGGGUGUGGUCCUAUUCAGUUUUGAGCAUAAGAUAAGAUUGAUGAAAAGCCAAAGACAGCUACUAUGUAUGAGCAGCUUCUGUAAGUUAUACUUUAUAUGAUUCGUGUACUCCUCACUUCAGCCCAGGGUGGUGCAUGUUAUAUUUAGAAAUGAGGAUACUGAGGCUCAACCAACAAGGUCUUGUCUAACCUCUGAUCACCAAACUGGAGUUGUUUCAGCUUCCACAUGACACCCUUGACCUACAACCUGGUCUUGGGCUACGUAAAGUAACAGGAAAUAUGAAAAUGUGAAUAUAUAAUAUAUAUGUGUGUGAAUAUAUAUGUGAAUAUAUAUAUCACUAUAUGAAUAUAGUGUCCUAUGAACACAGAAAAGAGAUGCCCAUGUUAUAAUGUGAAGACUAUCAGAAACCACAUGAUGUGAGCACCAAAAUUAGCUGAGAAGCUCUGAGUGUAUCAGAUCCGACAAUAUGUUUUUGGAGGUGCUUACUCAAAGCUUUUAAACAGUAUUUGAAACUAAAUAUCAAAAAUAGCCAACUGUGUGGUAACAGGGUAAGUUUACGUUCCUGGCACUUGACAUGUCACCUGGCCCUAGUAAGGAUUAAAGUUCCCCCAUUGAUUUGCCGAUAUUAAUCUCUAGGCUCUGCAGACAUGUGAAGUAGAUAUCAUACAUUAUAUUAUGUUUUCAAACAGCCACUCUUAUUGGCCAUCAUAGGUUACAUGUUCAGUAUCACCAUGUGACUCUGGUUUAAAUUAAGGACAACCAUUGCCAGUUAUGCACUACUAUACUGGUCAAACCAUUUUUUUUUUAUUAACUUGAGUAUUUCUUAUAUACAUUUCGAGUGUUAUUCCCUUUCCAGGUUUCCAGGCAAAAAUCCCCCUCCCCCUCCCCUUCUUUAUGGGUAUUCCCCUCCCUAUCCUCCUCCUCUUGCCGCCCUCCCCCCAACAAUCUAGUUCACUGGGGUGGUCAAACCAUUUUUAACAUUUCUUAUUUUUUAUUGUCCUUGGAAAAAUG